rnacentral:misc_RNA from 1 species
ACACCACUUGGAUGGAAAAUCAAAAGAAACAUCCGCAAAAGCAGUCACAGCAAGGUCUCCUCCAAUGUAAUCUCUCCCAGGGUCAGCACUAUCAUCAGUUGGAUUACUUUGCAAUUGCCUUCGAAGAUCAGUAGGGCCCAGUCCCCUUGUCCUAAACCCAUAUAAUGCUAUCGGACCUCCCAAAGUGCAAAUUGGAGAUAA